rnacentral:ribozyme from 1 species
AUGGAAAAUGAGAGAAGAGCAGAUCAUUGACCAUACACACUAACAAGUCAACCAAGACCACAACAACAUCAAUCAAGGCAUCUCAAGAUGAAGAUAUCAAGUUCUUCAUCGUCCAAGUCAUCGUGUGCUCAGCUGUUCGGAGGGACGU